UACGGAGGGGGCGAGCGUUGUCCGAAGUUACUGGGCGUAAAGCGCGCGUAGGCGGGGAGGAAAGUCCGCUGUGAAAGCCCGAGGCUCAACCUCGGCGGGUCGGUGGAUACUUCCUCUCUUGAAGGUGCUAGGGGGAAAUGGAAUGACCGGUGUAGCGGUGAAAUGCGUAGAUAUCGGAAGGAACAUCAGUGGCGAAAGCGGCUUCCUGGUCCAGCACCGACGUUCAGGCACGAAAGCGUGGGGAGCAAACAGG
rnacentral:rRNA from 1 species